rnacentral:misc_RNA from 1 species
AAAGUCGUAACAAGGUCUCCGUAGGUGAACCUGCGGAGGGAUCAUUACCGAGUUCUCGCCCUCGCGGGUAGACCUCCCACCCACUGUCAUCGCUACCCUCGUUGCUUUGGCGGCCGCCGGCCCCGGCCGCGCCCGCCAGAGGCACCGCAAACUCUGAACGUCAGCGUCGUCUGAGCACUACACAAUAGUUAAAACUUUCAACAACGGAUCUCUUGGUUCUG